rnacentral:lncRNA from 1 species
GGUCGUCAGUCUAUUUGGCCACAUGGACGAUUCCUGAAAUUUUCUAGCAAUUUUCAAAAUAUGAGCACGACUGCGAUCAACAUCUAUAACUAACAAUCUCAAUUCGCAAGCACAAUCCACUACUGACGUUCAUGACUAACAACUCUGAUAUGCAGGCAUGACCUGUUGUCGACGCCCAUGUAACUACAUAGGUAUGACCUGC